GGGGCCGUGGCGAAACUGGUAGACGCGGGGGACUUAAAAUCCUCUGGAGCCGCCAGGCUCCAUCUCGGUUCGAGUCCGAGCGGCCCUA
rnacentral:tRNA from 1 species